GGAUGUGAGAGCAAUCUAGCUGUGACAUCUCUGACCCCAUUGAUUGCCAUGGCUGAUUUGCCUGAUCUGACUGGCUAGGUAGUGUCCCCUUCCUCCUUCACUGUGACAUGUGCAUCUCUUCCAAAUCUGUGCGCUCCAGGGAAGAGGACAACCUCAGGAGUGUACCAGUCUUCUGUGUAAUCCAAAUCACUUCACAGAACCUGUUGUAGGGACUAAAUCUGAAAUGCAUUGAUUUUUGAAAUGUAAUUUUCUUU
rnacentral:sRNA from 1 species